CAGCGAUGCCGCGUGAGUGAAGAAGGCCUUUGGGUUGUAAAGCUCUUUCGUCGGGGAAGAAAAUGACUGUACCCGAAUAAGAAGGUCCGGCUAACUUCGUGCCAGCAGCCGCGGUAAUACGAAGGGACCUAGCGUAGUUCGGAAUUACUGGGCUUAAAGAGCUCGUAGGUGGUUAAAAAAGUUGGUGGUGAAAUCCCAAAGCUUAACCCUGGAACUGCCAUCAAAACUUUUUAACUAGAGUAUGAUAGAGGAAAGCGGAAUUUCUAGUGUAGAGGUGAAAUUCGUAGAUAUUAGAAAGAAUACCAAUUGCGAAGGCAGCUUUCUGGAUCAUUACUGACACUGAGGAGCGAAAGCAUGGGUAGCGAAGAGGAUUAGAUACCCUCGUAGUCCAUGCCGUAAACGAUGUGUGCUAGACGUUGGA
rnacentral:rRNA from 1 species